rnacentral:lncRNA from 1 species
AUGACUUUCAGGCAGAGAGGCCCUCCCACGCCCACAAUAGGCCGAGCCCAGCCUUCCUCGGAUUUGCCUCCAGGCCUGACGUUUACUUCCCUUUCUAAGUGUGGGGGUCAGGAGGCGGCAGACCCAAAGACCUCUUCUUACCACCUUGUCUUUUCCAUGGAGGUUCCCACGCAACGCUUGUCCCUGUCCCUGAGAUUUCAGACCUUUCCACAGCGCAAAGCCUCCUGCCUUGAGACUACUGCAGUGAGCAAGGUGAACCCCAUCCCCAAGCUAUGGCAAGAAUGCUGGCCUCUUCCGUCGCUCCUAAGUUCCAGGCUGAACUCUUCCUUCAACUCAACAGAUCCAAAAUGAAACCGGCGUCUUUAGCUCACCCUCGUCCCCCGCUGCCCCUGCCAGGGUCUUGGCCACCCUGAUCCAGGCCCCCGGUCACACCUCCAGGCCUGGCAAUAAUAUUACCUGGACUCCUUGAAGACUGCAACCAGAUUAAUCAUCCCGGAGCUCUGCUUUGAUAAUAUCACUUUUAUAGACACAUAAAAAGAAGCAUCGAGGCAGCCAGUCAUGCUAAAUCUUAACCAUCUUUACAGAAUUUUUAGUGCAGCCCAUCAAAAUUGUCACCAGCCCUGAAGGUUCCACGUUUAUGGUGUCCAUGAUAACACCUCUAUGCUGGAGGCAGCAGCACUUGGAGAUGGUGCAGAGCUGGCACUGCAGGAGCUGUCCUCGCCAGGCCUGAUCUCACAGCCAGGCCUGCUUCUCCUGGUUCCGCACAGAGCCCAUGGUCACCUCCUGCGUCUCCCACCCCAGAGGCGUAAGUGAGCAGUCUCUGGGUACCACCGGCACUCCUCUGCGAGGUGACAGAUGACAGCUUUAAAGACGUUGGGCCGUUGGGCAUCACCUUUUCAGUGGCUGGGUGCGAGGGGCCUGCGAGUCCUUGGCAGGGGCUGGCGUGGGCAGGCUGGUCGGCUUCAGCAGCGGCUGUGGGCCAAACGGCUUGGGAGCAGUUGUGCCGAGCAGGGACUGGACCGGAGGGGAACAGGAAGUGGGACCAACAGUUUUGAUUGGGGGCUGCGUUAUAGGUGGUUGUUUUCUGUGAAAGCCCCAUUGAUGUCACAGUGACGUGUGGUAAUAACAAAAAAGACAACACUUGUAAAGACACAGAGGCAGUGAGGAAUAGAAACAAUUUGGUGAGCUUUGUGGAGCUGGACUCCCUGAGUUCAAAACCCAGCUUCAACACUGACUGGCUGUGUGACCGCCCGACCUCGUCUCCAUCUGCCCGGGAGGCCGUCCCUGACUGCCUCAGUGUGCUGUCGGCUCAGUGUCUCCUGGUCUCCCAGGACUGACCUGCUGGGCCGUGUACUCGGGGUUCUGUGCAUGGCUUCUGGGGCUGUGUAUACAGUGACGAGCACAGCACGUGUUUCCCCAACUAGUUUGUAAUCUCUGAGCGCACAGACUUGAUUUAAAUUUCUUCCGGACCCUGCGGUGCUCUGGGAAUGCUGUCUAAUUGUUGCGACUUUACUCCUGUGGCCUGUGCUAGCUGCCCGGUUGGCAGUUGGGACUGAAGGAUGCUCAUCCACUUGCCUGACCACAAGCCUGGCACCAGCCCUGCCUUUGUUCUCCCACGAGUCCCCUUGAAGGUGACCCAUUCGUGGUGGGAGGUGUAGAGUCCAGCAGGGCUCUUGCACCUUUUGCCCUCCUGAGUCCUGGAGGAAGAGCUCGUUUCCUCAUCCGUACAGAGGGAAAAACAAAUGAGCAGUUACCUUGGGCAGAGUCCACAGUCCAGCCUGCUUGGCUGCCGGGGGGAGGUGCCAACUGCAGAAGGCAUGGGUCCUUCCAGGUGUGGACUCGGCCCCUGGGCACUGCGAUCUGUGGCCUCCUUACCGAUGGUGAGGAGUGGAGAAGAGUCUCUCUGCUGUGCAUGGCAGCCUCAGCCCACACAGGAUGCUGGCAUUUCCGUGCUAUUAAAUAAUUAACUUGGUACUACGUGGAGUAAAACACACAUUGGUCUGGUAAAAGGCCUCAAUUAAUUGCUUUCGUGUUAGCUGUGUACUGUGUCUCCAGGAGGAGAUAAGAGGUGGGAACGUGGGUUUUGAAGCCAAGCUGAGAGACACCCUCACAAAAGGUGGUAAGUCCCCCUCUCCCAUGCAGUUGGGUCUGUUCAGUGGCGCAGUGCAGAGGUGGCAGCCACUGCGUUUUGUCUCUGGUCGUCUUUGGGGGAGUAGGGAGGGGGACAUGGGACCCAGCUCCCUGCUGAUGGGUGGUGUGUGACUGGCUGCCUCGGAUGGGCCGACCCAGGCUGUGACUGGUGGUGGCAACAUUGGGCUGCUUUUCUGCCACUGCUCUUGGAAAACGCUCUGAGUCAUCACAUGCCUGCCUUCUGCACCUUCCGGAGGCGGCCUCUGCUGACUGCAUGUGGCUGUCAAGGCUGGGGCCAUUCAUGGGGCCUGCAAUGCCGCCUAACACACACAGUGACUGGGAGGCGUUGUCUCGUGGUAGCUUGCACUGUGUGGAUUGGUGCCCACCCCACCAUGUUGCCCUCGUGUGGUGUCGUGUCCACCUCCCCACAGGAUGUCCCGUCCUCCAGGGCAG